AUACCUUUCUCGGCCUUUUGGCUAAGAUCAAGUGUAGUAUCUGUUCUGAUCAGUUUAAUAUCUGAUACGAGGGUCAUCGACCCUCACGAUAAUUUCUAAUUUCUCUCACGGGUGCGAGUCCAACGGUGCAGCUUGCUGCUUCGGACUCGCCAGCGUCACCUUGGUAUUGCACUAUGUCCUUGGCAGGCGCAGCCCUC
rnacentral:snRNA from 1 species